rnacentral:rRNA from 1 species
UACGUAGGGUGCAAGCGUUGUCCGGAAUUAUUGGGCGUAAAGAGCUCGUAGGCGGUUUGUCGCGUCUGCUGUGAAAACUCGGGGCUUAACCCCGGGCCUGCAGUGGGUACGGGCAGACUAGAGUGCGGUAGGGGAGACUGGAAUUCCUGGUGUAGCGGUGAAAUUCGUAGAUAUUCGGAAGAACACCAGUGGCGAAGGCGGCUCACUGGCCCGGUUCUGACGCUGAGGUGCGAAAGCGUGGGGAGCGAACAGG